GGUGGAUGCCUUGGCAGUCAGAGGCGAUGAAAGACGUGGUAGCCUGCGAAAAGCUUCGGGGAGUCGGCAAACAGACUUUGAUCCGGAGAUGUCUGAAUGGGGGAACCCAGCCAUCAUAAGAUGGUUAUCUUGUACUGAAUACAUAGGUGCAAGAGGCGAACCAGGGGAACUGAAACAUCUAAGUACCCGAAGGAAAAGAAAUCAACCGAGAUUCCCUCAGUAGCGGCGAGCGAACGGGGACCAGCCCUUAAGCUGGACAACUGGUAGGAGAAGGCCCUGGAAAGAGCCGCCAUAGUGGGUGAUAGCCCCGUAUCCGUAAAAUGAAGACCUUUUAGAGUAGGGCGGG
rnacentral:rRNA from 1 species